rnacentral:rRNA from 1 species
GACGAACGCUGGCGGCGUGCCUAAUACAUGCAAGUCGAACGCAGGUGCGAAAGGUUGAGUAACGCGUAGGUAACUACCUAUUUGAGUGGGAUAACUAUUGGAAACGAUAGCUAAUACCGCAUACUUGUCGAUGGACCUGCGUUGUAUUAGCUAGUCGGUAGGGUAAUGGCCUAUCUUGGCAGCGAUACAUAGCCGACAUGGGGGGGAGGGCGGCCACGCCGGGACUGGGAAACGGCCCCGAGCGCUACGGGAAGCAGGAGGAGGGAAUCCUCGGCAAAGGGGGGAAACAUGACCGAGCAACGCCGCGGGAGUGAAGAAGGUUCUCGGAUCGGAAAGCUCUGUUGUUAAGGAAGCGGUACUUAACGAAAAAGGGACGGCUAACUACGUGCCAGCAGCCGCGGUAAUUC